UACGAAGGGGGCUAGCGUUGUUCGGAAUUACUGGGCGUAAAGCGCGUGUAGGCGGUUGUUUAAGUCAGGUGUGAAAGCCUUGAGCUCAACUCAAGAAAUGCACUUGAUACUGGAUGACUAGAGGACCGGAGAGGAUAGUGGAAUUCCCAGUGUAGUGGUGAAAUACGUAGAGAUUGGGAAGAACACCAGUGGCGAAGGCGGCUAUCUGGACGGUUACUGACGCUAAGACUCGAAAGCGUGGGGAGCAAACAGG
rnacentral:rRNA from 1 species